rnacentral:lncRNA from 1 species
AGGAUUAUGAAAAAUUCUCCCAGAAUCUACUUCUCUCAGAAUCUGUAGUCGAGUUCUUUUCAGAGAUUGUAGUUUGAGAUUCUGGAAAGUGUUGUCUGUUGAAAUGUCUGUACUGCCCUUAGAUAGAAGUUGUUUGCUGAAUUGUUAACACUCUCUUGUUUCUAACAGUGAUGAAAGUGUAUUUUACGAAUGGCAUAAAAAUUGCUAAAUAUUACAACGGGUGUAAAGUUAUGUUCAUGACGGUAAGUGCAUAAACUAAAAAAAGACAAUACUCUCAGGGUACAAGACUAGCAGCAAUCGCCUCACGUGUUGCGUUCAUGGUACCAUCAUCUUCUGGUGGUAGAGCGUUGGCACCUGUAAACGGCAAUAGAGGU